rnacentral:rRNA from 1 species
UCUACGGGAGGCUGCAGUGGGGAAUAUUGGACAAUGGGGGCAACCCUGAUCCAGCCAUGCCGCGUGUGUGAAGAAGGCCCUCGGGUGGUAAAGCACUUUCAGUGAGGAAGAACGCCUGGUGGUUAAUACCCAUCAGGAAAGACAUCACUCACAGAAGAAGCACCGGCUAACUCCGUGCCAGCAGCCGCGGUAAUACGGAGGGUGCGAGCGUUAAUCGGAAUUACUGGGCGUAAAGCGCGCGUAGGUGGCUUGAUAAGCCGGUUGUGAAAGCCCCGGGCUCAACCUGGGAACGGCAUCCGGAACUGUCAAGCUAGAGUGCAGGAGAGGAAGGUAGAAUUCCCGGUGUAGCGGUGAAAUGCGUAGAGAUCGGGAGGAAUACCAGUGGCGAAGGCGGCCUUCUGGACUGACACUGACACUGAGGUGCGAAAGCGUGGGUAGCAAACAGGAUUAGAUACCCCGGUAGUC